AUUGCCUUAGUAACGGCGAGUGAAGCGGCAACAGCUCAAAUUUGAAAUCUGGCUCCUUCGGGGCCCGAGUUGUAAUUUGCAGAGGAUGCUUCGGGUUUGGGUUCCUUCCGAGUUCCCUGGAACGGGACGCCAUAGAGGGUGAGAGCCCCGUCUGGUAGGAAACCCAGCCCAUGUGAAGCUCCCUCGACGAGUCGAGUAGUUUGGGAAUGCUGCUCUAAGGGGAGGUAUACUCCUUCCAAGGCUAAAUACCGGCUAGAGACCGAUAGCGCACAAGUAGAGUGAUCGAAAGAUGAAAAGUACUUUGAAAAGAGAGUCAAACAGCACGUGAAAUUGUUAAAAGGGAAGCGCUCGCUACCAGACGUGGGUUCGGUGGUUCAACCAGGUCCAUGACCUGGGGCACUCCGCCGGCCCAGGCCAGCAUCAGCUUUCCGUCGGGGGCAAAGGCGUCGGGAAUGUGGCUCUCCUUCGGGGGAGUGUUAUAGCCCGUCGCGUCAUACCCUUCGGGGGGCUGAGGUACGCGCUCCGCAAGGAUGCUGGCGUAAUGGUAGCUAGUGACCCGUCUUGAAACACGGACCAAGGAGUCAACCUUAUGUGCGAGUGCCCGGGCGUAAAACCCCAGCGCGGAAUGAAAGUGAACGUAGGUGAGAGCUUCGGCGCAUCACCGACCGAUCCUGAUGUCCUCGGACGGAUUUGAGUGAGAGCAUAUAGGGUUGGACCCGAAAGAAGAUGAACUAUGCGUGUGUAGGGUGAAGCCAGAGGAAACUCUGGUGGAGGCUCGCAGCGGUUCUGACGUGCAAAUCGAUCGUCAAACAUGCGCAUGGGGGCGAAAGACUAAUCGAAUCUUCUGGUAGCUGGUUUCCGCCGAAGUUUCCCUCAGGAUAGCAGUGUUGAUCCCAGUUUUAUGAGGUAAAGCGAAUGAUUAGGGACUCGGGGGCGCUAUUUAGCCUUCAUCCAUUCUCAAACUUUAAAUAUGUAAGAAGUCCCCGUUACUUUAUUGAACGCGGACGCUGGAAUGAAACAACACUAGUGGGCCAUUUUUGGUAAGCAGAACUGGCGAUGCGGGAUGAACCGAACGCGAGGUUAAGGUGCCGGAGUGGACGCUCAUCAGACACCACAAAAGGUGUUAGUACAUCUUGACAGCAGGACGGUGGCCAUGGAAGUCGGAAUCCGCUAAGGACUGUGUAACAACUCACCUGCCGAAUGUACUAGCCCUGAAAAUGGAUGGCGCUCAAGCGUCCCACCCAUACCUCGCCCUCGGCGCGGGCUCGGCGCGUCGAGGAGUAGGCGGACGUGGAGGUCGGUGACGAAGCCUAGGACGUGAGUCCGGGUGGAACGGCCUCUAGUGCAGAUCUUGGUGGUAGUAGCAAAUACUUCAAUGAGAACUUGAAGGACCGAAGUGGGGAAAGGUUCCAUGUGAACAGCGGUUGGACGUGGGUCAGUCGAUCCUAAGCUAUAGGGAAGUUCCGUUUCAAAGGGGCGCUUUUGCCCCGUAUAGCGAAAGGGAAGCUGGUUAAUAUUCCAGCACCUGGAUGUGGGUUUUGCGCGGCAACGCAACCGAACGCGGAGACGACGGCGGGGGCCCCGGGAAGAGUUCUCUUUUCUUCUUAACGAUCUAUCACCCUGGAAUCGGUUUGUCCGGAGAUAGGGUUCAACGGUCGGAAGAGCCCAGCGCUUCUGCUGGGUCCGGUGCGUCCUCGACGUCCCUUGAAAAUCCGCGGGAGGGAAUAAUUCUCACGCCAGGUCGUACUCAUAACCGCAGCAGGUCUCCAAGGUGAACAGCCUCUGGUUGAUAGAACAAUGUGGAUAAGGGAAGUCGGCAAAACAGAUCCGUAACUUCGGGAAAAGGAUUGGCUCUAAGGAUCGGGCGCGUUGGGCCUUGAAUAGACGGUUCGGCGGCGGGAGGUCACUAGCUGGGCAACCAGCCGGAGGCUCCCUGCUGCUGGGCUCGACGCUCUUGGCAGGCUUCGGCCGUCCGGCGCGCGUUUAACGAUCAACUUAGAACUGGCGCGGACAGGGGGAAUCUGACUGUCUAAUUAAAACAUAGCAU
rnacentral:rRNA from 1 species